rnacentral:misc_RNA from 1 species
UUGGUGAAGGUGCAGAUGCAGUUGCAA